rnacentral:rRNA from 1 species
UGAGCUGUGAUGGGGAAGCUCCUUAUGGAGCGAAGUCUUUGAUUCCCCGCUGCCAAGAAAAGCUUCUAGCGAGAUAAAAGGUGCCUGUACCGCAAACCGACACAGGUAGGCGAGGAGAGAAUCCUAAGGUGUGCGAGAGAACUCUGGUUAAGGAACUCGGCAAAAUGACCCCGUAACUUCGGGAGAAGGGGUGCUUUCUUAACGGAAAGCCGCAGUGAAUAGGCCCAAGCGACUGUUUAGCAAAAACACAGCUCUCUGCGAAGCCGUAAGGCGAAGUAUAGGGGGUGACACCUGCCCGGUGCUGGAAGGUUAAGGAGAGGGGUUAGCGUAAGCGAAGCUCUGAACUGAAGCCCCAGUAAACGGCGGCCGUAACUAUAACGGUCCUAAGGUAGCGAAAUUCCUUGUCGGGUAAGUUCCGACCCGCACGAAAGGUGUAACGAUUUGGGCACUGUCUCAACCAGAGACUCGGUGAAAUUAUAGUACCUGUGAAGAUGCAGGUUACCCGCGACAGGACGGAAAGACCCCGUGGAGCUUUACUGUAGCCUGAUAUUGAAUUUUGGUACAGUUUGUACAGGAUAGGCGGGAGCCAUUGAAACCGGAGCGCUAGCUUCGGUGGAGGCGCUGGUGGGAUACCGCCCUGACUGUAUUGAAAUUCUAACCUACGGGUCUUAUCGACCCGGGAGACAGUGUCAGGUGGGCAGUUUGACUGGGGCGGUCGCCUCCUAAAGUGUAACGGAGGCGCCCAAAGGUUCCCUCAGAAUGGUUGGAAAUCAUUCGUAGAGUGCAAAGGCAUAAGGGAGCUUGACUGCGAGACCUACAAGUCGAGCAGGGACGAAAGUCGGGCUUAGUGAUCCGGUGGUUCCGCAUGGAAGGGCCAUCGCUCAACGGAUAAAAGCUACCCCGGGGAUAACAGGCUUAUCUCCCCCAAGAGUCCACAUCGACGGGGAGGUUUGGCACCUCGAUGUCGGCUCAUCGCAUCCUGGGGCUGUAGUCGGUCCCAAGGGUUGGGCUGUUCGCCCAUUAAAGCGGUACGCGAGCUGGGUUCAGAACGUCGUGAGACAGUUCGGUCCCUAUCCGUCGUGGGCGUAGGAAAUUUGAGAGGAGCUGUCCUUAGUACGAGAGGACCGGGAUGGACGCACCGCUGGUGUACCAGUUGUUCUGCCAAGGGCAUAGCUGGGUAGCUAUGUGCGGAAGGGAUAAGUGCUGAAAGCAUCUAAGCAUGAAGCCCCCCUCAAGAUGAGAUUUCCCAUAGCGUAAGCUAGUAAGAUCCCUGAAAGAUGAUCAGGUUGAUAGGUUCGAGGUGGAAGCAUGGUGACAUGUGGAGCUGACGAAUACUAAUAGAUCGAGGACUUAACCAUAUAA